AUACGUAGGGGGCGAGCGUUGUCCGGAAUGAUUGGGCGUAAAGGGCGCGUAGGCGGCCCGGUAAGUCUGGAGUGAAAGUCCUGUUUUUAAGAUGGGAAUUGCUUUGGAUACUGUCGGGCUUGAGUGCAGGAGAGGUAAGUGGAAUUCCCAGUGUAGCGGUGAAAUGCGUAGAGAUUGGGAGGAACACCAGUGGCGAAGGCGACUUUCUGGACUGUAACUGACGUUGAGGCGCGAAAGUGUGGGUAGCAAACAGGAUUAGAUACCCUGGUAGUCCACACUGUAAACGAUGAAUGCUAGGUGUAGGGGGUAUCGACCCCUUCUGUGCCGCAGUCAACACAAUAAGCAUUCCGCCUGGGGAGUACGGCCGCAAGGUUGAAACUCAAAUGAAUUGACGGGG
rnacentral:rRNA from 1 species